AAAACGGCCCUUUUCAGGGCCACCAAAAUUAAAAUAUAAACGUUCG
rfam:Acyrthosiphon pisum strain LSR1 Contig1014846, whole genome shotgun sequence.